rnacentral:ncRNA from 1 species
UUAUUGGAGAGUUUGAUCCUGGCUCAGGACGAACGCUGGCGGCGUGCCUAAUACAUGCAAGUCGAGCGGACUUCUUAAAAGCUUGCUUUUAAGAAGUCAGCGGCGGACGGGUGAGUAACACGUGGGCAACCUGCCUGUGAGACUGGGAUAACUUCGGGAAACCGGAGCUAAUACCGGAUAAUAUAAGGAACCUCCUGGUUCUUUAUUGAAAGAUGGUUUCGGCUAUCACUUGCAG